GUCCCGAUAGCUCAGCAGGUAGAGCACACGGCUGUUAACCGUGGGGUCGGAGGUUCGAGUCCUCUUCGGGACG
rnacentral:tRNA from 1 species